rnacentral:rRNA from 1 species
AUUGAACACUGGCGGCAGGCCUAACACAUGCAAGUCGAACGAGUGGCGGACGGGUGAGUAAUGUCUGGGAAACUGCCUGAUGGAGGGGGAUAACUACUGGAAACGGUAGCUAAUACCGCAUACCAUCGGAUGUUCCCAGAUGGGAUUAGCUAGUAGUUAGGGUAAAGGCUUACCUAGGCGACGAUCCCUAGCUGGUCUGAGAGGAUGACCAGCCACACUGGGAAUGAGACACGGUCCAGAUUCCUACGGGAGGCAGCAGUGGGGAAUAUUGCACAAUGGGCGCAAGCCUGAUGCAGCCAUGCCGCGUGUAUGAAGAAGGCCUUCGGGUUGUAAAGUACUUUCAGCCGGGAGGCGUUACCGGCAGAAGAAGCACCGGCUAACUCCGUGCCAGCAGCCGCGGUAAUUC